rnacentral:piRNA from 1 species
UACAUAGUUGUCUAUCGAUUCUUCGAGA